rnacentral:rRNA from 1 species
AUUGAACGCUGGCGGCAUGCCUUACACAUGCAAGUCGAACGGCAGCACGGGAGCAAUCCUGGUGGCGAGUGGCGAACGGGUGAGUAAUAUAUCGGAACGUGCCCAGUCGUGGGGGAUAACGUAGCGAAAGCUACGCUAAUACCGCAUACGAUCUAUGGAUGAAAGCGGGGGAUCGCAAGACCUCGCGCGAUUGGAGCGGCCGAUAUCAGAUUAGGUAGUUGGUGAGGUAAAGGCUCACCAAGCCGACGAUCUGUAGCUGGUCUGAGAGGACGACCAGCCACACUGGGACUGAGACACGGCCCAGACUCCUACGGGAGGCAGCAGUGGGGAAUUUUGGACAAUGGGCGCAAGCCUGAUCCAGCAAUGCCGCGUGCAGGAUGAAGGCCUUCGGUUGUAACUGCUUUU